UUUCUGCUGUAGUCACAGCCUUUCUCAGAUUCAAGGACAGGGAAACAUAGAUCCUGCCUUUUCAUAGGAAGAAUGUCAAUGCCAAUGUAAGAAGAGCAUGUAGGAUGGGAGAAAUUCUUGAGACUGUCUUGGGAAAUGCAGUCUGCUGUGGGGUGACUACAUCCUGGUGAAUAUGUUCUUUGCAUUAUCAUUUGAAACCUCUUCUGAAGUUUUGACAAGUGCCCCCAGCUUUGAGACUGUGAGUUUGAAACUGCAAACUGACUGCACUCAGGAGGAGGAAGCCUUCCAAGGGGGACCUGGUGGUGAAGACUGUCUUCAUGUAGACCCUAAGUGGAUGAGUUAGUCAAGGUCAGCACACAGUCAUCCAGGGUCCCAGAGAGCCCCAAGAGCACCUUGGCAAGGCCUCCUCAGGUCUGGAUCCUGCACCUGGACCUGUCAUGGAGCGCAGAGGGCCGUCUCUCUGACUGCCUGAGGCUGAUGUUUUCAUGAGAACGGCAGACCAAAGAGAUGGGAAACCUCGGUUCUUGAAGAUACCCCCGAGCUUCUGAGUCAAUGGCCCUGUGGCUGUCCUACAUCUUGCAUUCCUGCCACAUAAAAUUAGGCAAAUUUUUAUUGUUCUUUGAGCCAAUAUAAAUCCAGGUUUCUGCUAAUUGUAGC